UGUCGGCGUGCUUAACACAUGCAAGUCGAACGGAAAGGCCCUGCUUUUGUGGGGUGCUCGAGUGGCGAACGGGUGAGUAACACGUGAGUAACCUGCCCUUGACUUUGGGAUAACUUCAGGAAACUGGGGCUAAUACCGGAUAGGAGCUCCUGCUGCAUGGUGGGGGUUGGAAAGUUUCGGCGGUUGGGGAUGGACUCGCGGCUUAUCAGCUUGUUGGUGGGGUAGUGGCUUACCAAGGCUUUGACGGGUAGCCGGCCUGAGAGGGUGACCGGCCACAUUGGGACUGAGAUACGGCCCAGACUCCUACGGGAGGCAGCAGUGGGGAAUAUUGCACAAUGGGCGGAAGCCUGAUGCAGCAACGCCGCGUGCGGGAUGACGGCCUUCGGGUUGUAAACCGCUUUCGCCUGUGACGAAGCGUGAGUGACGGUAAUGGGUAAAGAAGCACCGGCUAACUACGUGCCAGCAGCCGCGGUGAUACGUAGGGUGCGAGCGUUGUCCGGAUUUAUUGGGCGUAAAGGGCUCGUAGGUGGUUGAUCGCGUCGGAAGUGUAAUCUUGGGGCUUAACCCUGAGCGUGCUUUCGAUACGGGUUGACUUGAGGAAGGUAGGGGAGAAUGGAAUUCCUGGUGGAGCGGUGGAAUGCGCAGAUAUCAGGAGGAACACCAGUGGCGAAGGCGGUUCUCUGGGCCUUUCCUGACGCUGAGGAGCGAAAGCGUGGGGAGCGAACAGGCUUAGAUACCCUGGUAGUCCACGCUGUAAACGGUGGGUACUAGGUGUGGGGUCCAUUCCACGGGUUCCGUGCCGUAGCUAACGCUUUAAGUACCCCGCCUGGGGAGUACGGCCGCAAGGCUAAAACUCAAAGGAAUUGACGGGGCCCCGCACAAGCGGCGGAGCAUGCGGAUUAAUUCGAUGCAACGCGUAGAACCUUACCUGGGUUUGACAUGGAUCGGGAGUGCUCAGAGAUGGGUGUGCCUCUUUUGGGGUCGGUUCACAGGUGGUGCAUGGCUGUCGUCAGCUCGUGUCGUGAGAUGUUGGGUUAAGUCCCGCAACGAGCGCAACCCUUGUUCACUGUUGCCAGCACGUUAUGGUGGGGACUCAGUGGAGACCGCCGGGGUCAACUCGGAGGAAGGUGGGGAUGACGUCAAGUCAUCAUGCCCCUUAUGUCCAGGGCUUCACGCAUGCUACAAUGGCUGGUACAGAGAGUGGCGAGCCUGUGAGGGUGAGCGAAUCUCGGAAAGCCGGUCUCAGUUCGGAUUGGGGUCUGCAACUCGACCUCAUGAAGUCGGAGUCGCUAGUAAUCGCAGAUCAGCAACGCUGCGGUGAAUACGUUCCCGGGGCUUGUACACACCGCCCGUCAAGUCAUGAAAGUUGGUAACACCCGAAGCCGGUGGCCUAACCGUUGUGGGGGAGCCGUCGAAGGUGGGACUGGUGAUUAG
rnacentral:rRNA from 1 species